AUGGAGUUGUAUUUUGGGAAGUGCUAAGCCAAAACAAGCAUGGCCAAGAUAGAAGAAUGAGGAUGGAUUUGCCACCUGCCCAUGGCAGAUCUAGAGCGGCUGGGAGUUAAUCCAAAGCAAUGCCCUCCUCCAACAGAGGAAACUAUCCAUGCGACAGUUUUGGAGAUUUUGCUUGCAAACUGGACAUUGACAGGUGGUGGUGAGAAAAGGAGAAAGAAGAGAGGGAGAGAAAUGAUUUUAAAGAACUGGCUUAUGCAACCAUGGGGCUGGAAACUCAGAUGUCAAUUACACCCAGCUGAUUGAUGGUGCUGUUGAGUUCAAUUAUGACCCUACAGACUUUCUGCCUGCUGGAUCUGACCACUUCUGAGAAGAGGAGUGUUAAGACAUCUCCAAGGAAACAAUGGCCUCUCCUGUUUCUCCUUACAGUUCUAUGGGCUUCUGUCUCAUGUUUUGAUACUCCUCUAUUGUUCGGCACACACGUUAAGAAUUAUUAUGUCUCCUUGGUUCAGAGAUUGCCUCACCAUUAUGCAAUGUCACUAACUUUGACAAUUUUAUUUUCAGUAAAGUCUACUUUCUUUGAAAUUA